GAUGAACGCUGGCGGCGUGCCUAAUACAUGCAAGUCGAGCGAACAGACUCGGAGCUUGCUCCUCUGACGUUAGCGGCGGCCGGGUGAGUAACGCGUGGAUUACCUAUCUCUAAGACUGGGAUAACUUCGUGAAGCCGGAGCUAUUACCGGAUAAUAUAUUGAACCGCAUGGUUCAAUAGUGACAGACGGUUUUGCUGUCACUUAUAGAUGUAUCCGCGCCGCAUUAACUAGUUGGUACGGUAACGGCUUACCAAGGCGGCGAUGCGUAGCCGACCUGAGAGGGUGAACGGCGAGACUGGAACAGAGACAGGGUCCAGACACCGACGGGAGGAAGCAGUAGGGAAUCUUACGGAAGGGGGGAAAGCCUGACGGAGCAACGCGGCGGGAGGGAUGAAGGUCUUCGGAUGGGAAAACGAUGAAAGUAGGGAAGAACAAAUGUGUAAGUAACCAUGAACGUCAUGACGGUACCGAAGCAGAAAGCCACGGCUAACUACGUG
rnacentral:rRNA from 1 species